rnacentral:lncRNA from 1 species
CAUUAACCAGCCAUGUGGCAGCCUCAGGAGUCUUUCAGAACCUGUUCUGGUUCUGAGGAUUGCCCGACGCACAAAUAGUUCUUUGCUCAAUUAAAUGCUGUUACAUUUAAUUUGUCUAAAGCUUUUCUUUUAACAGAUGUUUAUAAGAUAGGUGUUCAUAAGCAAGAGAAUGUAACUCUAUUUGCCUUUAAAUACUUGUUAUGAAGAAGUUAUAUUUGCAAAGUUCUAAGAAAGCUGCAAUCACUUGCUGUUGCCGGAAACUGCCUUGUGGCCUGGCGUCCUGGGAAUUUGCUUGGCUUUUUGUGGCCGCCAUCCAAAACUGGGAACCACAAGUCAAAGUUUUCCUUGUAGAAAUAUUUCACCUCGGCCGCCCGGGAGGCAGCGGCUGG